GGUUUUUCAUUACAUGGUUCUCAUCUUCCACUACUUGAAAGAUAUGAGACACACUUGGGAGACUAAAGUCUUCUAACAUUUAAUGCACUAGAAGACUUCCUGAAAGUUUACUGGUGGAGUUUUCUCAUUUGUCCCUCUUUCAUAACAGAUCUGAGUAUUUUGAUAUGAACCAAGCUUUGGAAGACUCUGACGAAGUCUUCUCUCAUGUCUACUUAUUCAUAAUGGAUCUAAGUGUUUUGGUAAGUUUCUAUGUAUGAUUCUUGUUUCACUCGAUAACCUCUGGUUGCUUAAUUCUCUUACUUUUAUCUCAACCUAAAACUCUCCAACCUCUCUCAAAUCUCUUAGAACUUGAAAACACCAAACUUAUAUCAAUUUAUCAUUUUUUUGUCUCAAUGUGUUUCUCAAUAAUUCAACUUUUUUACAUAUUUUUUAUUACAUGAUUCUCAUCUUCUACUCCUUUAAAGGUAGAUCUAAUUUUUUUGGAUAUGUAUUUUUGUAUGUUCUUUAAAGGUAGAUCUAUCUCAUUUUUCACUCAUUUUCUAUGUUUUAAAGCCAUUUGAACAUUUUUAGAUUUGGUGGUUUUUAACAUUUAAUGAGCUGGAAAACUUCCUGGAAGUCUUAUGACGGAGUCUUUUCUCAUGAUAAGUGGAGUCCACACUUGUCUUUGUGGAGGAAUGAUUUAUAAUAGUUUUUUUAUGGUAUGUUUGGUGGUUUAUAGGUGUACUCUUUUAGUUGUGAAUUCUUUUGUAAAUUUGAAGAGAUAUUAAUGAUUUUUUUUUUGGUAAAUAUGUUCAUGUUUCCAAAAGAUCAAACAUUACACAAGUUCAAACAUUACAUCCCAGAAGACUUCUCAAGAAAACUUAGUCAAAUUCACAAAAGAUCAAAUAUUACAUAAGUUCAAACUUAUAACAGUUUCACUAGAAGUCUCGGAAAACUUAAAUUUAAAGCGGAAAAUUUAAAGCAGAGAAUUAAAAUUUAAGCGGAAAACUCAAAAUUUAAGUGAAAAUUAAAAUUUCAAAUUUCAAGUAAGUUAAAAAGUAAAUCUUAUUAUCUAAGAAAACACAUUAAACCAUAUGACUUGAUAUUCUUGAAGUUACUUAACACUUUUGAAAGUUAAAAAACAUAUCUUAAAUUUACUUUACAAGUUCACAAAAACUAACAUAGAAGACUUUCAUGGACGUCUUCACUUAUUAGCUAAAAAUUUUAAUAAAUAUGAGUGUUGGUAACCUCAUAAAUAUCACCAAAUAAGUUAUUAAAGUUUAAGGGAAAAUGAAAUUUUAUUAAAUAUUGACGUAGAGGACUUUCACAUAAGUCUUCUAGAAGAAAUCGAGAAAGUCUUCUAUUUAGGUCAUUUUUGCAAUUGAAAAUUUACAAAGAAAGACUUCUAGGAAAGCCUACUCUACAACACACUUCUUUGGAAGUCUUCCUUUGUAA